rnacentral:pre_miRNA from 1 species
AGAGUGGUUGCUGAAUUAUAUGGUAAGACUGUAUUGAGUUUUCUAAGAAACUGUCAAGCUAUUUUCCAAAGUGACUGUACCAUUUGCAUUUCUACCAGCAAC